rnacentral:rRNA from 1 species
UACGGAGGGUGCAAGCGUUAUCCGGAUUCACUGGGUUUAAAGGGCUCGUAGGCGGAUCGGCAAGUCUGACGUGAAAUCUCCACUGCUCAACAGGGAGAGGUCGCUGGAUACUACCGAUCUUGAGUAUGGUAGAGGACCAUGGAAUUCCGCGUGUAGCGGUGGAAUGCGUAGAUAUGCGGAAGAACACCGGUGGCGAAGGCGGUGGUCUGGGCCAUUACUGACGCUGAGGAGCGAAAGCCAGGGGAGCAAACGGG